rnacentral:rRNA from 1 species
UACGGAAUGUGCAAACGUUAUUCGGAAUCACUGGGCUUAAAGAGUCCGUAGGCGGCAUGUUAGGUGAGGUGUGAAAUCCCCCGGCUCAACCGGGGAAUUGCACAGGAUACUGUCGGGCUAGAGUACAGGAGGGGAGAGCGGAAUUCCUGGUGGAGCGGUGAAAUGCGUAGAUAUCAGGAGGAACGCCAGUGGCGAAAGCGGCUCUCUGGUCUGUUACUGACGCUGAGGUGCGAAAGCUAGGGGAGCAAACGGG